ensembl:lncRNA
AUUUUCCCGGUUGCUAACUGCUCUCGGUGAAACGGAUAUGAUGGUGAAAUGGCUCCCUCCGGUUUAAAUAUUGAGCAGCAAGCCUUUGACGGUAUAAAUACAUCGCUCGCGAUUGAUCCAGACAGCGCAGCCGCUGGUAAAACAAGAUCCAUCUCCAACAUUUUUUAUGAGAAAUCAAAAUUUUAGAGAGACUCUAUUUUAAAUGGUAAUAUAUGCCAUGAUAGUAACAUAUUACCGAAACAAAUAAUUUAUCAUACAUUUAAACAUGUAUUCAACACUUAUUUAUUAAGCUCAUUGAUCUUAUAAAACACUAUUCACUUAUUUUAAAGAAGUUAAUUAAUAUAUUGUAAUUACAUAUAUAACACACUGUAUAAAAUAAACAUUUAAUAGGUUUUAGGUCA